CCCUGAUGGCGAGUGUAGAGCCGGUUUGGGGAUAGAAGUGAUGCAAGCUAAAUAUCGGAAGAAACUCAGUGCGGGUGUCGCCCUGGCGACGCUUCUGCUGUGCCCGGUCAUGACGGUCCCGGUCAUGGCUGACACGAUCGAGGCCGCGCUGGUUCGUGCCUAUCAGAACAAUCCACAAUUGAACGCGCAGCGCGCAUCGGUCCGGGCGACGGACGAAAGCGUGCCGCAGGCCCUGUCGGGUUAUCGCCCGCGUGUCGCGGUGACCGCCAGCGCGGGAACGCAGUACACCGAA
rnacentral:misc_RNA from 1 species